GCGCCGGUGGUGUAAGGCCUUUCAUCGCUGCCCGCAAAGUAGAAGGUGCGGGUUCGAGUCCCGCCUGGCGCA
rfam:Heligmosomoides polygyrus genome assembly, scaffold: HPBE_scaffold0000073